rnacentral:lncRNA from 1 species
AUGUUAAAUUCACAUGAGUUAACUGAUUGUUUAUUCUUAGAUGUCCGGCAGCAUAUUGUUUAUUAUUUCUACACUUAUCUGGAUGCCUUGGCUAGUUUCGCUUAAUGCUUUGAAAAUAAUCCAAUACAUACUCAAAGGUAGAGGUGAUAGAAUACAUCCCUGUCGUACGCACUUCCUAAGUUCAAUAUUCUCACUGAACAAAUUGACAAUUUUUAAUUAGUUUGCUACAAAAUGUUUGCUACAGUUCAACAAAAGGACAUCCAUAAGAAAGAACACCAGAAUGAUCUGGAACAGAAAUGCCAGCCCUAGGAAAAAAACUUUUGCUUAUCAACCAAAUAAAAAAUUUCCUUAUCCAGAUCAGCGCACAGAAAAAAGUGCCACUUGCUACUAGUGUUUAGGUAUACAAACCAUUGCAGAUUGUAAUAUACGGCCUUGUUUUUUUCCACCAAAAUUCUAAACAAAGAUACAUUAAUCCCUCUUUAAAUAGUCUACUGUUUACUAAGUCUUAUGCUAAUUUAGUAAAUAUCAAGUCUAUUUUUAGAACUUAAUAUUCAUAUCUAUGAAUAAUUUGCUUUUCUAUUUUUAGAAUUUCAAUUCCUCAAUUUUUUCUUUGCAAAAAUUGGCUUGUAUAACAGGUUUACAGGUGAGUUGUUUACUUGAUAAAUUUCCAUAAGUUUUUUGGCUAUUACCAAACUAGUGUAAACAAUUAGAAUAGCAAACGCAAAUCAAGCCACACAGUUUAGAAUUAAAAUUGGGAAAAUGGGACAAAAAAUAGUACACAAGAAACUGAGAUUCAAAUGGUUCAAUGAAGUAGCCAAUCUAUAGACUUUAAAAUGUGGAAAACUAAAAAUAGGAUAAGAAUGGGGGUUUGCUGCAGUCAAAAUCAAACACAGUAAAAUGAGGGACAAUAGAUCAACAUGCUGUGAACUGUGACUGUGGAGAAAUACAAAAUAUGGAACAUCUUCUUACAUGCAGAAACUGUCCUCAUUGGUGUACCCCGCACAAUUUGUGGCUUGGCAACACAGAUGGAACCCAGAUAGCCCGAUACUCGGCAGAAAUUAUACAAAUGACAUGUCCGGACAUGAUAAAGUAUAGUAAGUAGUUUCAUGAUAGAAAAAAUUGUCAACAGUUUUGUUUGUACUUAUAUUAGAAAAGAAGAUAUAAAGACAUA